AGCGAACGCUGGCGGUAGGCCUAACACAUGCAAGUCGAACGGCAGCACAGUAAGAGCUUGCUCUUACGGGUGGCGAGUGGCGGACGGGUGAGGAAUAUAUCGGAAUCUACUCUUUCGUGGGGAUAACGUAGGGUAACUCACGCUAAUACUGCAUACGACCUACGGGUGAAAGCAGGGGAUCUUCGGACCUUGCGCGAUUGAAUGAGCCGAGGUCGGAUUAGCUAGUUGGCGGGGUAAAUGCCCACCAAGGCGACGAUCCGUAGCUGGUCUGAGAGGAUGAUCAGCCACACUGGAAGUUGGACACGGUCCAGACUCCUAAGGGAGGCAGCAGUGGGGAAUAUUGGACAAUGGGGGCAAGCAUGAUCCAGCCAUAGCGCGUGGGUGGAGGAGGCCUUCGGGUUGUGAAGACCUUUUGUUGGGAAAGAACAGCAGCAGGUUAAUACCCCGCUGUUCUGACGGUACCCAAAGAAUAAGCACCGGCUAACUUCGUG
rnacentral:rRNA from 1 species